rnacentral:rRNA from 1 species
GCUCAGAUUGAACGCUGGCGGCAGGCCUAACACAUGCAAGUCGAACGGUAACAGGAAGAAGCUUGCUUCUUUGCUGACGAGUGGCGGACGGGUGAGUAAUGUCUGGGAAACUGCCUGAUGGAGGGGGAUAACUACUGGAAACGGUAGCUAAUACCGCAUAACGUCGCAAGACCAAAGAGGGGGACCUUCGGGCCUCUUGCCAUCGGAUGUGCCCAGAUGGGAUUAGCUUGUUGGUGGGGUAACGGCUCACCAAGGCGACGAUCCCUAGCUGGUCUGAGAGGAUGACCAGCCACACUGGAACUGAGACACGGUCCAGACUCCUACGGGAGGCAGCAGUGGGGAAUAUUGCACAAUGGGCGCAAGCCUGAUGCAGCCAUGCCGCGUGUAUGAAGAAGCCUUCGGGUUGUAAAGUACUUUCAGCGGGGAGGAAGGGAGUAAAGUUAAUACCUUUGCUCAUUGACGUUACCCGCAGAAGAAGCACCGGCUAACUCCGUGCCAGCAGCCGCGGUAAUACGGAGGGUGCAAGCGUUAAUCGGAAUUACUGGGCGUAAAGCGCACCAGGCGGUUUGUUAAGUCAGAUGUGAAAUCCCCGGGCUCAACCUGGGAACUGCAUCUGAUACUGCAAGCUUGAGUCUCGUAGAGGGGGGUAGAAUUCCAGGUGUAGCGGUGAAA